rnacentral:tRNA from 1 species
CAAAAAAUAGUUUAAUAGAAAAUAUUAGCUUUGGGGGCUAAUGAUAGGGAUAGAGCCUUUUUUUUGA